rnacentral:rRNA from 1 species
GACGAACGCUGGCGGCGUGCUUAACACAUGCAAGUCGAACGAAGUGGCGAACGGGUGAGUAACGCGUAAUCAACCUGCCCUUCAGAGGGGGACAACAGUUGGAAACGACUGCUAAUACCGCAUACUGAAGGAGGGGAUUGCGUCUGAUUAGCUAGUUGGGGGGGUAACGGCCCACCAAGGCGAUGAUCAGUAGCCGGUCUGGGAGGGUGAACGGGCAAGUUUGGACGGGGACACGGGCCAGGCUCCUAAGGGAAGCAGCAGUGGGGAAUCUUCCGAAAUGGGCGGAAGGCUGACGGAGCAAAGGCGCGGGAGAGAUGGCGGCCUUCGGGUUGUAAAGCUCUGUUAAUCGGGACGCGGUACCGGAAGAGAAAGCCACGGCUAACUACGUGCCAGCAGCCGCGGUAAUUC